GAAUGGACAGUGACGUCAUGUGUUUACUCUGGAACAGCCAAGCAAUGGACCAUUUCUCCUAGAGCUACUCCUGAAAAACAGAAGCUACUUCAGCAGGAGGUAGAAUUUCUGUUAGAGCAUGGGUUAGUGGAGGAGUCAUCUGGUCUAUGGGAUUCACCGUGCAUCCUCGUUAAAAAAGCUGAUGGAGGCUUUUGCAUGUGCACAGACUACCGUAAGGUGAACGAGGUCACAGUUACAGAUGCUUACCCUCUUCCUCGUCUGGAUGACGUAAUCGACUUUGUUGAUGCUUGUGAGUCUGGGGUUGGGGCAGUACUGUUGCAAAACAGGGACGAGGGGUUGCAGCCUGUGGCCUUCUUCUCAGCGAAGUUCCAGCCACACCAGAGAGCCUACUCAACAACUGAAAAAGAAGCCCUCAUGCUGGUAUUGGCCUUGGAGCAUUUCGAUAUAUUUGUGGGCCAGACUUUGCAGGUGGUCACAGUCUACAUUGGCCACAACCCUCUAAUUUAUCUUCAAAACAUGAAGAAUCACAACACAAGAAUUAUGAGGUGGUCACUUAGGCUGCAACCAUAUAAUAUCAGGGUAAAACAUAUCCCUGGUAAAGAAAACAAGUUGCAGACACAUUGUCCAGAUCUUAGAUUUUAUAUGUAUUAGGUUAGGAUGUGUUAGGGACCUGUGGUAACCGGUUUCUAGCUUUUUUUUUACUCCUUUAUAUAUGUUGGGACGUUUUUUUUUUUUUUUUAGUGAGGGGGUGCGGGCUACCAUCUGCCUGUACCUUGGACCUAUGUUAGCCCUACUGUCUGCUGUCUCACUCUAAGUUUAGGGUUUGGCUUUAUGUCGCGAAUAAAGCUGAGCUCUAUCUAAAAGUUGGAUGGUUCAGAGGAAAGGCGGUCCCAUUAUAUGGUGCCAUUGUGGCACGGUUACCAGUGGGAGGUGGGAGCCUAUUCCUGAGCCCUCUUGGGGUAGGGGUGUGGAACGCAAAGAGUACGUAAUUUUUAUUCGGCGCAUGUACACACCCUCAUUGAAAGGCAACCAGCAAACCAGUACUAGGGUUGAAUGAUAGUGCCCCAUCAUUCGAUCAGUACCCAGGUUCAGCCAAUGAGAAGAUGGUUCUGGAAAUCACAGAGGUGUUGUGGGAACCGCCCGCCUGUCUGCCCUUGUCAUUUCCAUACUAGAGCUGGUUGAGCACGGUUGUCCAUUCUGUCUCCAGGCUGUGUUUUGGCCUUGCCUAAACCAUGUUGUACACACAUUUUCCAACUGUAUAUAGUGUAAAUAUCCACAUUGCUUUUGGUGAAGGAAAAUAUAUUUCUAAGUCAUUUAGCUGUGUUUGUUCUGCUCCUUGCUCCCCUUUACACCCAGGAUAACAGGUCUUAUUGUCCCUGGGUUGUAAUACCUGCCCUUCCUGCUGUGGCCUGUCCUGCCCUUCCUACUGUGGCCUCUCCUGCCCUUCCUGCUGUGGCCUGUCAUGCCCUUCUUGCUGUGGUCUUUCCUGCCUGCUCUGGCCUGCCCUAUCCUGUCUGCUCUGGUUUGUUCUGCCCUGCCUGCUCUGGUCUGUCCUGCCCUGCCUGCUCUGACCUGUCCUGCCUGCCCUGCCUCCUCUGCCAAUUAUUCUGGAGAUUUCAAGCUUGUUUCAUGGUUAUUUACCACUCAGAAAACCCCAGUGUUUAACCCCUUGACUGUCGCAAUCCGAAACCCUGAGGUGUCUCUUGGUUUCGCAAAAUUUUGAAAAAAAAAAAGUAUUUUUUCUUAUGAAAUGAUAGAGAAUCUUUUCCCGAUUGUAAUAACACCAAAAGAACAAAAUUUGAUGGAAAACUGAUGGAAUUAUGCUCUCUUGAAGUUAGCGACCUCGGCAACAUUUACGAAUUGGCGAUUUCGCCCACUUUGAGCCCUAUUUUUGGCUAAUUCCAUUGUUCCAGUCGACCAAGCUCAUAGCUAUUUCUUUAGAACUUUAUUUUUUCUAUCGAUUGUGUACAAGAAACUGCCCAUUUACCAACUUCAACUACCCAAUAACGUGGUCAGAAAUUUGCAAUUUGGCUAAUUUCAGGAAAAUAAAAAAACAUGACAAUUUCAAAAUAAGGUCCAGAAUGAACAAUGCAGACAUUCCUGGCUCUAAAAUAACAUUUUUUUAUUCAUCAGUCACGUCACGUCUCCAGGCCCCUCUGAUAUUACUCUUGCUUUCUAUUUUGAAUUUUUAUUCAAGCAAAAAAUAGAAGAUUUACUGUUAUGCAGACUACUGCAAUAUUGUAAUAAUUGUAUAAAUAAUGUCAACCCCUUCAUGACUGCAUAUUAGAAUGGCUACUUGGACAUUUAUUGGAAAAUGACAUCAUUUGUUUACUUUUGAACAUCGGCAAAAAUCAAACAUUUCCCCUACUUUGAGCUCCAUUUCAAGAUUCUUUUCAUAGUAAAACCAAUCAAAAUCACCUCUGUUUCUAUAACAUGUUUUUCAUUCUAUCAAAUGAGACCAAGAAAACGAGAAUGCAACCAUAAAUACUAUAUGAAAAUAGACCACAAAUUUGGCAUUUUAAUUAAAAAAAAAAGGUCAGAGUUUUUUUUCUCAUUAUGCACUGCGUGCUGCAGGAUUUUUUUGAUAUGGUGCACACUGACUACAAAGACCCAUUCUCUCACAUGCGGGUCUAUCAGCUUUCCCCUGCUUGAUUGAAGCUGCUAGAAUUUAUGAGUAUAUAUACGUCAAAAAUGGUGGCUCGUAUGACGUACAGUGGACCCCCAGUAUUUGAUGGCAUCGGUAUUCGAUAAAUCUGGUAUUCGAUGCAUUAUAUCGCAAAAAUUUUGCCUCGGUAUCCGAUCGAAAACCCAGUAUUUGAUGCGAUUCAUACGAAACAUGUCCACGUGGGGCCUGAACUGCCCCAUGUGUGCCAGUGUUUACAAGCCAGCUAGUGUGCGCGCAUCUAAGGAUACAUUCGGUACAUUCCACAUUAUCACUGUUUUUGGAGCUUGUUUCUGCAAAGUAAGUCACCAUGGGCCCCAAGAAAGCUUCUAGUGCCAACCCUUCGAGAAAAAAGGUGCUAAUGACUAUUUAAAUGAAGAAAGAGAUACGUAAUUGCAAAGUACGAAAGUGGAGUGCGUGUGUCGGAGCUGGUCAGGUUGUAUAGUAAACCCCAAUCAAUCAUCUCUACUAUAGUGACCAGGAAAACGGCAAUCAAGGAAGCUGUUCUUGCAAAAGGUGCAACUGUGAUUACGAAACAGCGACCGCAAGUGUUAGAAAAUGUUGAGAGACUGUUAUUGGUGUGGAUAAAUGAAAAACAGAUAGCAGGAGAUAGCAUCUCUCAAGCGAUCAUUUGUGAAAAGGCUAGGCAGUUGCAUGACGAUUUGGUAAAGAAACUGCCUGCAACUAGUGCUGAUGUGAGUAAAUUUAAGGCCAGCAAAGGUUGGUUUGAAAGAUUUAAGAAUUGUAGUGGCAUACACAGUGUGAUUAGGCAUGGUGAGGCUGCCAGUUCGGACCAAAAAGCAGCUGAAAAAUAUGAGAAGGAAUUCAAGGAUUACAUAGACAGUGAAGACUUGAAACCUGAACAAGUGUUUAAUUGCGAUGAAACAGGCCUGUUUUGGAAGAAAAUGCCAAGCAGGACCUACAUUACUCAGGAGGAAAAGGCACUCCCAGGACAUAAGCCUAUGAAAGACAGGCUUACUCUCUUGAUGUGUGCCAAUGCUAGUGGUGAUUGCAAAGUGAAGCCUUUAUUGGUGUAUCACUCUGAAACUCCCAGAGUGUUCAGGAAAAACAAUGUCAUCAAGGCUAAUUUGUGUGUGCUGUGGAGGGCAAACAGUAAGGCAUGGGUCAAUAGGGACUUUUUCUAUGACUGGUUACACUGUGCAUUUGCCCCCACUGUGAAAAAUUACCUAAUUGAAAAGAAAUUAGACCUUAAGUGCCUCCUGGUAUUAGACAAUGCCCCUGGUCAUCCUACAGAAUUGGCAAAGCGGCUUUCUGGGGACAUGAGCUUCAUUAAGGUCAAGUUUUUGCCUCCUAAUACAACUCCUCUCCUGCAGCCCAUGGACCAGCAGGUCAUUUCCAACUUCCAGAAACUGUACACAAAAGCUAUGUUUCAAAAGUGCUUUGUAGUGACCACAGAAACUCAACUGACUCUAAAAGAAUUUUGGAAGGAUCACUUUAAUAUCCUCAAUUGUAUAAACCUUAUAGGUAUGGCUUGGGAGGGAGUGACAAAGAGGACCUUGAACUCUGCUUGGAAAAAACUGUGGCCAGAAUGUGUAGACAAAAGGGAUUUUGAAGGAUUUGAGGCUAACCCUGAGAAGCCUAUGCCAGUUGAGGAAUCCAUUGUGGCAUUGGGGAAGCCCUUGGGGUUGGAGGUUAGUGGGGAGGAUGUGGAAGAGUUGGUGGAGGAGGACAAUGAUGAACUAACCACUAGAUCAUCUUCAACAGCAAGAGGCCAGACCUGAGGAAACUGCUUUGGAGGAGGGGAUAAAUUGAAGAAGUUGCCUACUUCAAAGAUAAAGGAAAUGUGUGCAAUGUGGCUUAAAGUGCAAACCUUUUUUGAUGACAAUCACCCUAACACAGCUAUUGCAAGCCAUGCUGGUGACUAUUACACUGACAAUGUUGUGAAACACUUCAGGAAUGUCAUAAAGGAAUGGGAGGUACAGGCCACUAAGGACAGAUAUGUUGUGUGACAGAAGUCCAGUGACUCUCAAGCUGGUCCUAGUGGCAUUAAAAGAAGAAGGGAAGUAACCCCAGAAAAGGACUUGCUACCUCAAGUCCUAAUGGAAGGGGAUUCCCCUUCUAAACACUAACACCUCUCCCCUCCUCCCAUCCCAUCAAUCAUCACUAGAUCUUCAUUAAAGGUAAGUGUCAAUUAUUCUAUUGUUAUUGUUGUUAUUGUAAUUAUUCUAUUGCAUUAAACUUAAUAUUUCAUAUGGUAAAAUUUUUUUUUUCAUACUUUUGGGUGUCUUGCACGAAUUAAUUUGAUUUCCAUUAUUUCUUACGAGGAAAAUUGAUUCGCUUUUCGAUAUUUUUGGUAUUCGAUGAGCUCUCAGGAACGGAUUAAUAUCGAAUACCACGGGUCCACUGUAUAUAUACGACCGAAACAAUCAAAGGGUUAAACAACAAAAAGUAUCCAAGAACAGGUUGGGUGUUCUGGUGUCUUGGUACAAAUUAACAUAAAGCUACGUAUUUUGGGGUUUGAGUUACAAUAAUUUUGAAAUAUGAUACAUCUUCUGGAAAGUAUUAAUGCAGCUUGAGGGACCACUGUACUACAUACUCUAUUUGUUAAAAUAAUAUUAAAUUUUGAAA